rnacentral:rRNA from 1 species
CCUACGGGAGGCAGCAGUGAGGAAUAUUGGUCAAUGGGCUUACGCCUGAACCAGCCAAGUCGCGUGAGGGAAGACUGCCCUAUGGGUUGUAAACCUCUUUUGUCAGGGAGCAACGCCGGCUACGUGUAGCCGGACUGAGAGUACCUGAAGAAAAAGCAUCGGCUAACUCCGUGCCAGCAGCCGCGGUAAUACGGAGGAUGCGAGCGUUAUCCGGAUUUAUUGGGUUUGAAGGGUGCGUAGGCGGAAUGCCAAGUCAGCGGUAAAAUCGCGGGGCUCAACCUCGCUCCGCCGUUGAAACUGGCGUGCUUGAGUGGGCGAGAAGUAUGCGGAAGGCGUGGUGUAGCGGUGAAAUGCAUAGAUAUCACGCAGAACUCCGAUUGCGAAGGCAGCAUACCGGCGCCCAACUGACGCUGAAGCACGAAAGCGUGGGUAUCGAACAGGAUUAGAUACCCUUGUAGUC